GCAUCCAGAUAAGACUGGAGAAAUUUUAAAAAAAAUAUCAAAAAUAUUUUGUCAAAUAUGGAAUGUUAUCACUAAAAAUAAUUCUAUUUUUAAAGUAUUUGAUGAGGAGGACUCUUCAAAUCUCAGAGAGACGCAAUGCUUCUACGUGCGUGCGAGACUUCCUUUUUCUAAUUUUUCUCCACCCCAAAAAUUCUAAAAAGAAUACAUCUCAUACUUUGAGAUGUGCACCAGAAGA
rnacentral:lncRNA from 1 species